UGAGAAGUGAGUCCCAGGUUGAUGUGUUAAAUACUAAGAACCUUGGCCAAUGUCAUUUCAAAGGUGAUAGAGUUUGGGCUGCUAUGAAAACAUCAAGUGGAGAAAGACAUUCUUUUGCCCAGAGCUGUGUAGCAUCAAUUUCCCGGAACUGAUCCAUUCUCUGGAUGUCUUGGCCUGACUUGACUCUCUCAAUUCCCAGAGCUAGGCUACAGUAGUUGUUCAUUUUAAUUGUUCUGCCAAGAUCAGAUAAUCAGAUAGAGACUGGCUACAAGCACUCCAUGAAUACAUUCUUCAAUAGAGUGCUUUUUGCAACCUGGAUACACCUAAAGGGAUUCUGAUUCUGUGAAAGGAUUCUUUUUCCCAAAGUUUUCAAUUCAGAAAGCACAAAUAUCUAAAAGUAGUAAGCACCCAGCAGUUGUGUUAGAUUGGAAAAGUGUAGUGGUGGUGUAUACUAUACACAUAUGUACAGAGAGAGAAGCUAGUAACGAGAAAUAUCUAUUAGAGAUUAUAGUUCCAUUUAAAACACAGUUGUAGAAAAAAUAAAAUCAACUUUAGUUGUGGCCUGGACUCAUCUCUCUUGCAGUUAUCUUUUUACUAUUAGCUAAUUGACAUGGUAAAACCCCAUGGUAUGAGAGAAUUAUUAAUAAACAUUGUAAAAA
rnacentral:lncRNA from 1 species